GUAGACAAGUCAGUCGCAGCGCCAAUGUCGGCGCCGCGACUGACUUUAACUGUUUACAUGAAGUAAGUACAUAGUAGUGGUGCGUUUCUCACGAUGAGCACACGUGUGUGAAGUCAGUGGGAAAAAUGAAUUCGCGAAAACAACUGAAACGACGAUUUAAU